GUAUAUCUUUGAAGUAGUAGGCAAUAGACUUUUUCAGAGAGCUAAUGGUAGGUGGAAAUUAGUAAAGGAGAUUGUCGAACUUGUCAAAGGGGAAAAAAUAUACCGGUAAAAACCGUUAUCUUAAUGAGUAGGACUAUUUAAGUCAAUUAGGGUGGUAACGCGGGAGGCCUCUCGUCCCUAUU
rnacentral:ncRNA from 1 species